UUGUACUCUGACUUCAGCAACAUAUAUACUAAAAUUGACAUGAUACAGAGAAGAUCAGCAUGGUCCCUGUGCAAGAAUAACACACAAAUCCAUGAAAAAAUAAACAAAAUU